rnacentral:rRNA from 1 species
UACGGAGGGUGCAAGCGUUAUCCGGAUUCACUGGGUUUAAAGGGUGCGUAGGUGGCUUUGUAAGUCAGUGGUGAAAGCCCGGAGCUCAACUCCAGAACUGCCAUUGAUACUGCUUAGCUUGAAUCACGUCGAGGUGGAUGGAAUAAUACAUGUAGCGGUGAAAUGCUUAGAUAUGUAUUAGAACACCGAUUGCGAAGGCAGUUCACUAGGCGUGUAUUGACACUGAGGCACGAAAGCGUGGGGAUCAAACAGG